UUCAUCAGCUGCCGUCUUAGAGCCACUUUGAAACAAAAGUCUCCAAGCCGUCAUAAUAAAGUCUGUUUCUUCCACAAACCCUCAUUCAGAUGGCGGUCCAUAGAGGGAGACAGCGCUCUGUGUGAGUGCUGCAACACUGACUGCUCAGGACUGGCUGGAGUGAAGAACCACGGCCAUCCAGAGACAGAUGAGACGUUUGAGGCCCACAGGACAGUUGGACUUCUUCAUGUUGUGCAUCAAUCCUACUGGACCGGAGAGCUGUCAGUCAGUUGAAAAAAACUCUACUCCAGAUCCAGAGUUUGGUUGGUUUUGUUCAAACUCUUCUGCUGCAGAGGAAACAUCAGAGACCAGAUGGGAAAUGUUGGAUGAAUGCUUUAAUAUACUUUAGGUAAACACUUUUACCUUGUUUGC